rnacentral:rRNA from 1 species
GAUGAACGCUGGCGGCGUGCCUAAUACAUGCAAGUCGAGCGAAUGGACUAAGAGCUUGCUCUUAUGAAGUUAGCGGCGGACGGGUGAGUAACACGUGGGUAACCUGCCCAUAAGACUGGGAUAACUCCGGGAAACCGGGGCUAAUACCGGAUAACAUUUUGAACCGCAUGGUUCGAAAUUGAAAGGCGGCUUCGGCUGUCACUUAUGGAUAGACCCGCGUCGCAUUAGCUAGUUGGUGAGGUAACGGCUCACCAAGGCAACGAUGCGUAGCCGACCUGAGAGGGUGAUCGGCCACACUGGACUGAGACACGGCCCAGACUCCUACGGGAGGCAGCAGUAGGGAAUCUUCCGCAAUGGACGAAAGUCUGACGGAGCAACGCCGCGUGAGUGAUGAAGGCUUUCGGGUCGUAAAACUCUGUUGUUAGGGAAGAACAAGUGCUAGUUGAAUAAGCUGGCACCUUGACGGUACCUAACCAGAAAGCCACGGCUAACUACGUGCCAGCCGCCGCCGUAA